rnacentral:rRNA from 1 species
GCCACGCCCGCUACAGAACUACAAAGGAAUUGACGGGCCCCGCACAAGCAGCGGAGCGUGUGGUUUAAUUCGAGGCUACACGAAGAACCUUACCAGGGUUUGACAUGCUAGUGGUAGGGAUCCGAAAGGUGACCGACCCCUCGGGGAGCUAGCACAAGUGCUGCAUGGCUGUCGUCAGCUCGUGUCGUGAGAUGUUCGGUUAAGUCCGCUAACGAGCGCAACCCUCGCUGUGUGUUACAAGUGUCACACGGAACUGCCGGUCAUAAACCGGAGGAAGGUGGGGAUGACGUCAAGUCAGCAUGGCCUUUAUAUCCUGGGCUACACACACGCUACAAUGGCCAACACAAUAGGUUGCUAAGCCGCGAGGUGGAGCCAAUCCUCAAAGUUGGUCUCAGUUCAGAUUGCAGGCUGCAACCCGCCUGCAUGAAGAUGGAGUUGCUAGUAACCGCAGGUCAGCUAUACUGCGGUGAAUACGUUCCCGGGGCUU